GUUUGAACCUGGCUCAGGAUGAACGCUGGCGGCGUGCCUAAUACAUGCAAGUCGAGCGAACCACUUUGGUGGUGAGCGGCGAACGGGUGAGUAACACGUAGGUGAUCUGCCCAUCAGACGGGGACAACGAUUGGAAACGAUCGCUAAUACCGGAUAGGACGAAAGUUUAAAGGUGCUUCUGGCACCGCUGAUGGAUGAGCCUGCGGCGCAUUAGCUAGUUGGUAGGGUAAAGGCCUACCAAGGCGACGAUGCGUAGCCGACCUGAGGGGGUGAACGGCCACACUGGGACUGAGACACGGCCCAGACUCCUACGGGAGGCAGCAGUAAGGAAUCUUCGGCAAUGGGCGAAAGCCUGACCGAGCAACGCCGCGUGAAUGAUGAAGGCCUUCGGGUUGUAAAAUUCUGUUAUAAGGGAAGAACGACUUUAGUAGGAAAUGGCUAGAGUGUGACGGUACCUUAUGAGAAAGCCACGGCUAACUACGUGCCAGCAGCCGCGGUAAUACGUAGGUGGCGAGCGUUAUCCGGAAUUAUUGGGCGUAAAGAGCGCGCAGGUGGUUGAUUAAGUCUGAUGUGAAAGCCCACGGCUUAACCGUGGAGGGUCAUUGGAAACUGGUCGACUUGAGUGCAGAAGA
rnacentral:rRNA from 1 species